AUUGAACGCUGGCGGCAUGCCUUACACAUGCAAGUCGAACGGCAGCACGGGUGCUUGCACCUGGUGGCGAGUGGCGAACGGGUGAGUAAUACAUCGGAACAUGUCCUGUAGUGGGGGAUAGCCCGGCGAAAGCCGGAUUAAUACCGCAUACGAUCUACGGAUGAAAGCGGGGGACCUUCGGGCCUCGCGCUAUAGGGUUGGCCGAUGGCUGAUUAGCUAGUUGGUGGGGUAAAGGCCUACCAAGGCGGCGAUCAGUAGCUGGUCUGAGAGGACGACCAGCCACACUGGGACUGAGACACGGCCCAGACUCCUACGGGAGGCAGCAGUGGGGAAUUUUGGACAAUGGGCGAAAGCCUGAUCCAGCAAUGCCGCGUGUGUGAAGAAGGCCUUCGGGUUGUAAAGCACUUUUGUCCGGAAAGAAAUCCUUGGCUCUAAUACAGUCGGGGGAUGACGGUACCGGAAGAAUAAGCACCGGCUAACUACGUG
rnacentral:rRNA from 1 species